rnacentral:rRNA from 1 species
UACCAGCACCCCGAGUGGUCGGGACGAUUAUUGGGCGUAAAGCGCGUGUAGGCGGCAUGGCAAGUCGGGUGUGAAAGCCCUCAGCUUAACUGAGGAAGUGCGCCCGAAACUGCCGUGCUUGAGUGCCGGAGAGGGUGGCGGAAUUCCCCAAGUAGAGGUGAAAUUCGUAGAUAUGGGGAGGAACACCGGUGGCGAAGGCGGCCACCUGGACGGUAACUGACGCUGAGACGCGAAAGCGUGGGGAGCAAACAGG